AGAAGGAGGAGAAGGGGAAAGAGAAGACAAAAAGAUACAUACUCUCCAUCUUAGGACAUGAACUGAAAAUUAUCAAGUAACGGGACUUUUCCCCACAAUCAUUUGUAAUCAGAGAUGUCAGGAGCAACCUGGAGAAAAAACAUGCAAUGAUCGUUACCAAGUGCACAGCCAAUUUUUGAACCCGACUUAGUUUCCCAGUGGAAACCAGGUAUAAGUUCCUGCUCCUCUGCACACUAUAAGAAGAACUUUGCCAUCAGUUUAUGAUCUAAUUAGUCCAUCUACAUGUUUAUUACUCAGGAGGCACUUUGCCUGAAAGAGAGAAGCCA